rnacentral:rRNA from 1 species
GUGGUAGGGGUGAAAGGCCAAUCAAACUCCGUGAUAGCUGGUUCUCCCCGAAAUGCAUUUAGGUGCAGCGUCACAUGUUUCACAUCGGAGGUAGAGCUACUGGAUGGCCGAUGGGCCCUACUAGGUUACUGACGUCAGCCAAACUCCGAAUGCCGAUGUGUGAGAGUGUGGCAGUGAGACGGCGGGGGAUAAGCUCCCGUGCGUCGAGAGGGAAACAGCCCAGAUCGCCGGCUAAGGCCCCUAAGCGUGUGCUAAGUGGAAAAGGAUGUGCAGUCGCGAAGACAACCAGGAGGUUGGCUUAGAAGCAGCCACCCUUGAAAGAGUGCGUAAUAGCUCACUGGUCAAGUGAUUGUGCGCCGAUAAUGUAGCGGGGGCUCAAGCACACCGCCGAAGCCGCGGCAAUCCACGUAUGUGGGUUGGGUAGGGGAGCGUCCUGCAUCCGGUGAAGCCACAGAGUGAUCUAGUGGUGGAGGGUGUGGGAGUGAGAAUGCAGG